UACGAAGGGGGCUAGCGUUGUUCGGAUUUACUGGGCGUAAAGCGCACGUAGGCGGAUUCUUAAGUCAGGGGUGAAAUCCCGAGGCUCAACCUCGGAACUGCCUUUGAUACUGGGGAUCUCGAGUCCGGGAGAGGUGAGUGGAAUUGCGAGUGUAGAGGUGAAAUUCGUAGAUAUUCGCAAGAACACCAGUGGCGAAGGCGGCUCACUGGCCCGAUACUGACGCUGAGGUGCGAAAGCGUGGGGAGCAAACAGG
rnacentral:rRNA from 1 species